CUCAAGAUUGAUGAGAGUUCUUUACAUAGCACAGGUCACAAACGACGUCGGUUCUGCGUGUUCUUAGUCAAAAAAACCAUAAAUCUCUUUUCAAUUCCACAAGAGGGUUUUAGUAAAAAUCACUUCCCAGCACCAUUUUUUUUUUUUCAGUUUUUCUACCACCUGUGGAGUUAAAAAAUUCAGUCAGGCACAGAAGUCAUUGCUUCUACACAACUAAACAGAGCUCUCAUAUGGCGCCUAUCUGGAAUGCACUGCAUGUUCAGAUGGCUACAAGAAAGAGCAGCAGAAAGUAUAUGGAUUUCUUUUGUUCUACAGAAUUAAAAAGAAAUUGCAAAAGUACUUGCUUUAUAAGCUGUUUAUCUUAAUGGUUCGAGUCAAAUUCAGGUCAGCCAAGUGGACAAAUCUAGCAAUCAGCUUUCUUGUGGUGAAAGUAAGUUAGGAGAGUGUUUUGAAUUCGUGUUUGCAAGUCACUAAAUCUAUCAUGAGGCCUAGUUGGGCCAUUUUUUACCAUCACACCUUACUUUGACUUUUGAAUGGACAAUUGUUAUUUUAACUCUCUUACCAGGAUUUAUGUGGCUAGGCAAGUUGACAUUUGCCCUUUAUUUCAACCCUAUCUUUUAUAUACAAGUAGAUUUUAUUAUAAUUGGAAAUUGUGCACAAUUGAGAUCUUUGGAACCAAAUUUUGUGUUUUAGUUGAAAAUGGACCUGCAUAAUGCAACUCAAACGCUCCAACCUACCUGAAAUUGUAUGAAAUGAACGAGUAUUGGGGUCUUUGGUUGUGUUCGAGAUUCCACAGCUCAGAGAAGAGACUCAUUUUAAGGGCGUUGGUACUACCCGUUCUUGUUCAAGUUCGUGAACUGUCAUAUAGAAGGCCCUCCCAUCUGCAGAAUAUAUACAGAUAAAGCUUGGAUGUUACAAAAGUGGGAGGUGGUUAAGAGGGAAGUGCAUGGUGCAGCAAUUGCAUAAUGAUCACACAGUGACCUAAUUUGUUUGCAUUUUUUAUUUGUUAGUUACGUGUUUCAUCCUCAAACUUGCUUUGUUCCAAGUUUGAGUGCAGCUAUGAGAGAAAGUGCGCGCGCAAAGGGGGGUGGGGUGGGUUGUUGAGGAGCCGGGGAAUUUUUUGGCUAGAGUAAAGACUUUCUGCUGUUAAUGCAAUGUGUGACAUGAGUUGUUUAGGUGAAAAAAGAAAGGUGUACUACAAGUUGUUCAGAUAUGAAUUUGUGAUAAAUAAUUUAGCAAAUACAAAAACAGUGUCGUGUGUUCUUGAGCAAGUGACAUAUAUCAUGCUGAGUUGUUUUAAAAUAAAUGAAGUGCUUUCUUGUAUUCAGACAAUUGUUAAGAGGGAGAGAGACUUGGAUGCAUCUGUUAUAAUUGUUUACAUCAUGGAUGUAAGUUCUUUGUGUUUUUCUUGUUGUUUACACAUUGUUCUUGAACUUCAUUCAGUCAUGUGUAAGGGUGCAACUAAUUUAGGCCAAAGUUUAAAUCCUUUUCUGUUUUGUCUAGAGACAUCCGAUUCUAAUUUAUGUGAUUGUGUUGCAUGAUCCCAGCUAGUGUAAAUGCUUACAUCAUGGAUCCUCAAUUGUUUCUUCUCAUGAUUGAUCUUUCAUUUUAACAAGAUGAACUGAUUAUUGCUAUCUUGAAUGAUACCUGUAACUAAUAUUUUGUGGUUACUCUUGUAGAGGCUCAGUGAUGUAUUGGUCUUGGUAUUAAAGUAUUGUUUGUUCAAUUUGGCUGUCUGUUUUUUAUUUGUAAGUUACACUCGUAUUCAGUCGGUCACAGCCUCAUCUUUUGCCACUCUUGUUAGGUAAGGAGGGGCCAUUUGAGCUAAAGUUAUUGUAUUCUACUCCUAUUUUACAUGGAAGCUGCUGUGAGUCGUAUAUGGCAUGCAAUUCUUUUUCUGAAAGCCAGCAUUUUGUUAAAAAUUGUUUGCUCAUGUUUGUGAGUGAAUUCCCUUAGAAGUGUAACAUCUAUUUCGAUUUAUGGAGCUUCUAUAUGGUGCUAGUUGGGAUGGAUGGAUGUACCCUGAUAUUGCUGCUAUUUUGGAUUGUUAUGUGAUAUUCAUCCCUUUGUGUGUGAACAUAUUCAUUUCUUUUUCAUUGCCGGGUUAAGGGAGGUGUAGAAAUGCAGAUAAUGCUCUCAUGUGCAUACAUUUUAUUAGCUUUUCCUAUUAAAUAUUACUAGUCACAGACCAAUGCAAUGCAUGGGAAUAGAUAAGUAUUUUGUAAUUAUGAAAUAAUGUAUAAUUUGUUCUCCUAAAUUUGUUGAAGAUAAUUUGUUCUCCAUAAAAAUUAAACAAUUUUUUAAAAUUAUUCUCCAUCUUUCUAUCUCUACAAAUAAAUCAUUCUACUAUUUUUGGGUUUAUUCAAUUGAUAUUUAUCUAUUUUUUAGGUGGUUCGUAUUCUUCUAAAUUAUGUUAUAGUGCGUUAUUGAUAAGUGUAAUUUUUACAUGAUUUUUAUUAUCCUCUUAUUUAUUAAAAUUGUUAGUUUUCCUUUAUUUCUUUUGAUUUGAUUUGAUUUAUAUUUAUAUUUAUCUAUUCAUUUGUGCUUUGAAGGAAUGAGAAGAUUUCAGAUUAAUCUACAAGAGCUUUACAUGCAAAGUGGGGCUAGGCCAUUGAAUCAAGUCAACUUACAUCCAGCCAGGCAUGAAUUCAAGAGAAGACCAACCCAAUUAAAUUUAAGUCCAACUGGAGCAAGGAAUCAAAGGAAAUUUGCACCAAAUCCAAGUCCAAUUCAGAUUAAGAUUCCAACCUGCACAUCAGUUAAUAUUUUCAGUAUAACUUUGGGCUCAGAUGUCCAAUCGAGAUGAUUCAAGUUGGGCUGGAAAGUUAAUUUAAAGGGCUACAACUUUGUAGUUUACCAAAAGCCCGAAUUCUGAAGUUAAAUGGGUCAAAAUAGUCAGUUAAGUGAAGCCUAAAAAUCUGGGAUUUUAUCCGAACGGGAAUUCAACUUGUAAUAGGAUUCCUUGACCUAUUUAAAGUCUCUUUAGGGAAAAAUUCAGAGAGGCCAGUGCUAGGGUUGCAAGUGCCGCAUUUGAAGAAUUUUCUUUGGAGUCUUUCUAGGACAAAGGGGUGCCGCUUUAUGUUGAUCAACCAAUUCCCAUGAAACACAUAAGUUUUAUUUGUUUUCUUUUCAAUUUGAUUAUGAACUAAAUUUUAUAUCUAGAGCAUUGAUGUAGUCUAGCAAUGAACACACAAUUUAUAUUCUGAGUUAUUUUAUUUUUAAUAUUUC